AGCAGCCGCGGUAAUUCCAGCUCCAAUAGCGUAUAUUAAAGUUGUUGCAGUUAAAAAGCUCGUAGUUGAAUUUUGGGUUCGGCCGGGCGGUCCAUCCUCCGGAUGAGUACUGUUCCGACGCCGGACCUCACCUUCUGGUGAGACGGCAUGUCCUUUAUUGGGUGUGUCGGGGAACCAGGACCAUUACCUUGAAAAAAUUAGAGUGUUCAAAGCAGGCUUUUGCUCGAAUACAUUAGCAUGGAAUAAUGAAAUAGGACGCGUGGUGCUAUUUUGUUGGUUUCUAGAACCGCCGUAAUGAUUAAUAGGGAUAGUUGGGGGCAUUAGUAUUCAAUUGUCAGAGGUGAAAUUCUUGGAUUUAUUGAAGACUAACUUCUGCGAAAGCAUUUGCCAAGGAUGUUUU
rnacentral:rRNA from 1 species